AGCUCCAUAAAAUUCUAGGAGAUAAGGUGAACAAUACUGCUGUAAUUGAAAAGCAAGUACUAGAACUUUGGGACAGACUGUAUCACUCUUGGUUUGUAAAGAAUGUAACACACUCUGGAAGGCACAAAGGACAGAAGUUGCAUGUCAGUCGUCAGAAUAGCUGGCUGGGAGACAUUCUGGACUGGCAGGAUAUUGUUUCCUUUGUUCACGAGAACAUUGAGACAUUUCUUUCGAUCUUGGAGUCUCUGUGGAUCGUUAUGAGCCGGAAUGUGAGCCUGCUGUUCACCACUGUCACUACACUCUUGACCAUCCUCUUCUACAGCGGGACAGCCCUUCUCAAUUUUGUACUCUCUCUGAAGCCUCCUGGCCUUACAUACAGAAUGCCUGGACAAGAGAGAACUUGCUGCGGGCUGCUUUGUAUUUUAAAACACAGCUUGAGAGUUCAGAGUUGGUGGUUUGCUCACUUAACUGUUGUUAAGAUGGCUUGAAAAGUUUCAUUUUAUACACUGGUACCCUGGCUUGAAAUUUUUCCACUUUGGUUAUCUAUGUUACUAUAUUAUAUAUUUAUAAAGUUAUUUUAAGAACUCUAAACUACCUGCUGUUAAAAGAAUAGAUGGUGUAAUUUUUUCCUGGUUUAAGAAAUGUAUUGUUAAACUUUUCUAAGACAGUCACUUUUCAAGGAAGAGGGCUUUCACUUUUGAGUGUGUAGUUGAGUGAGCAGG
rnacentral:lncRNA from 1 species